GACGAACGCUGGCGGCGUGCUUAACACAUGCAAGUCGAGCGGUAAGGCCCUUUCGGGGGUACACGAGCGGCGAACGGGUGAGUAACACGUGGGUGACCUGCCCUCAGCUCUGGGAUAAGCCUGGGAAACCGGGUCUAAUACUGGAUAUGACUCCAUGACGCAUGUUGUGGGGUGGAAAGCCUUGUGCGGCUGAGGAUGGGCCCGCGGCCUAUCAGCUUGUUGGUGGGGNGAUGGCCUACCAAGGCGACGACGGGUAGCCGGCCUGAGAGGGCGACCGGCCACACUGGGACUGAGACACGGCCCAGACUCCUACGGGAGGCAGCAGUGGGAAUCUUGCGCAAUGGGCGAAAGCCUGACGCAGCGACGCCGCGUGAGGGAUGACGGCCUGGU
rnacentral:rRNA from 1 species